rnacentral:tRNA from 1 species
CGCGGGAUGGAGCAGCCCGGUAGCUCGUCAGGCUCAUAACCUGAAGGAUCGUAGGUUCAAAUCCUACUCCCGYAA